rnacentral:rRNA from 1 species
CAACAUUUGAAAACGACUGCUAAUACCGCAUGAUACAUUUGGGUGGCAUCAUCUGAAUGUCAAAGAUUUAUCGCUGAAAGAUGGCCUCGCGUCUGAUUAGCUGGUUGGUGAGGUAACGGCCCACCAAGGCGACGAUCAGUAGCCGGACUGAGAGGUUGACCGGCCACAUUGGGACUGAGAUACGGCCCAGACUCCUACGGGAGGCAGCAGUGGGGAAUAUUGGGCAAUGGGCGCAAGCCUGACCCAGCAACGCCGCGUGAAGGAAGAAGGCUUUCGGGUUGUAAACUUCUUUUAAGAGGGAAGAGCAGAAGACUGUACCUCUAGAAUAAGCCACGGCUAACUACGUGCCAGCAGCCGCGGUAAUACGUAGGUGGCAAGCGUUGUCCGGAUUUACUGGGUGUAAAGGGCGUGCAGCCGGGAAUGCAAGUCAGAUGUGAAAUCCAUGGGCUUAACUCAUGAACUGCAUUUGAAACUGUAUUUCUUGAGUACUGGAGAGGCAAUCGGAAUUCCUAGUGUAGCGGUGAAAUGCGUAGAUAUUAGGAGGAACACCAGUGGCGAAGGCGGAUUGCUGGACAGCAACUGACGGUGAGGCGCGAAAGUGUGGGGAGCAAACAGGAUUAGAUACCCUGGUAGUCCACACUGU